rnacentral:rRNA from 1 species
AUUGAACGCUGGCGGAAUGCUUUACACAUGCAAGUCGAACGGCAGCACGGACUUCGGUCUGGUGGCGAGUGGCGAACGGGUGAGUAAUGUAUCGGAACGUGCCCAGUCGUGGGGGAUAACGUAGUGAUAAUUACGCUAAUACCGCAUACGAUCUAUGGAUGAAAGCGGGGGAUCGCAGACCUCGCGCGAUUGGAGCGGCCGAUAUCAGAUUAGGUAGUUGGUGGGGUAAAGGCCCACCAAGCCAACGAUCUGUAGCUGGUCUGAGAGGACGACCAGCCACACUGGAACUGAGACACGGUCCAGACUCCUACGGGAGGCAGCAGUGGGGAAUUUUGGACAAUGGGCGAAAGCCUGACCCAGCCAUUCCGCGUGCAGGAUGAAGGCCCUCGGGUUGUAAACUGCUUUUGUACAGAACGAAAAGGUUUCUACUAAUACUAGGAGCUCAUGACGGUACUGUAAGAAUAAGCACCGGCUAACUACGUGCCAGCCGCCGCAGUAA